GCGCGCACCAGUGAUCCCAGUGUCCGGGAGGCUGAGUCUGGAGGAUCGGUGGUGCUCUGGAUCUCUGAGCUGCAGCGGACUGUGCUGAUCGGGUGUCCGCACUAAGUUCGGUAUCGAUAUGGUUCUUCUGGGGGAUCCCGGGACCACCAGGUCGUCUGAGGAGGGGUGCACCGGCCCAGGUCGGAGACGGAGCAGGUCAAAGCCCCCGUACCGCUCAGUGGUGGGAUCACACCUGAGAAUAGACGCUGCAGCUCAGCCUGAGUAACACAGCGAGACCCAGUCUCUUUAUAUUGAUGGAGAC